AAACUGCUAGAAACCAAAGGUGGAAGUUCAGGCUCUCAUCCCAGCUCAGGGGAGCUUCAAGAUUCCCCCAGGGUGUAAAAAAAAAAAAAAAGGAAAAACCUGUUUUCUGUUUUUCUGCAGGGACAAUGGCCCUGGAGGAAGAGGUACCAGCUGAAAAGGCAGCCGGUGGUGCCGGCCAAGAGAUGUAAACAGUAACACCAAUAACGAAGUUACCCGACGCUCUGGCAAGGGUCACACAUUCCAAGGGCGAAAUGUCCCAGUAGAUAUGGAUUGACUUUCUUGGACCUACAUUUAGUUUCUUAAUGAUGACUCCGUUGAUUAAAAUGCAUCUGAUUCACAGGCAA